GGCAAGAUGGCCGAGCGGUCUAAGGCGCUGUGUUCAGGAAAAUUCCAGGCUGUGUUCAGGAAUCAACUUGAAUUUCGCAGUCCGAAAGGGCGUGGGUUCGAAUCCCACUCUUGUCA